UUGGAGGGCAAGUCUGGUGCCAGCAGCCGCGGUAAUUCCAGCUCCAAUAGCGUAUAUUAAAGUUGUUGCAGUUAAAAAGCUCGUAGUUGAACCUUGGGUCUGGCUGACCGGUCCGCCUCACCGCGUGCACUGGUUCGGCCGGACCUUUCCUUCUGGGGAGCCCCAUGGCCUUCACUGGCCGUGGGGGGAACCAGGACUUUUACUGUGAAAAAAUUAGAGUGUUCAAAGCAGGCCUUUGCUCGGAUACAUUAGCAUGGAAUAAUAGAAUAGGACGUGCGGUUCUAUUUUGUUGGGUUCUA
rnacentral:rRNA from 1 species